AUCCAGACGACGAGUCCCAAAUGGGACGAAAUGCGUGUUGUCCUGGAU
rnacentral:hammerhead_ribozyme from 1 species